GAGCUUGCUUUUAAUUAUUUUAGCGGCGGACGGGCCAGUAACGUGUGGGCAACCUGCCUUUUACUGGGGAAUAAUCACUGCAAACGGUGACUAAUACCGCAUAAUAUUCUUAGGAGGCAUCUUCUGAGAAGGAAAGGAGAAAUUCGGUAAAAGAUGGGCCCGCAUCUGAUUAGCUAGUUGGUGAGAUAACAGCCCACCAAGGCAACGAUCAGUAGCCGACCUGAGAGGGUGACCGGCCACAUUGGGACUGAGACACGGCCCAAACUCCUACGGGAGGCAGCAGUGGGGAAUAUUGCACAAUGGGGGAAACCCUGAUGCAGCAACGCCGCGUGAAGGAAGACGGUUUUCGGAUUGUAAACUUCUAUCAAUAGGGAAGAAAGAAAUGACGGUACCUAAAUAAGAAGCCCCGGCUAACUACGUGCCAGCAGCCGCGGUAAUACGUAGGGGGCAAGCGUUAUCCGGAAUUACUGGGUGUAAAGGGAGAGUAGGCGGCAAGGUAAGCGAUAUGUGAAAGCCUUAGGCUUAACCUGAGGAUUGCAUAACGAACUAUCUAGCUAGAGUACAGGAGAGGAAAGCGGAAUUCCUAGUGUAGCGGUGAAAUGCGUAGAUAUUAGGGAGAACACCAGUGGCGAAGGCGGCUUUCUGGACUGAAACUGACGCUGAGGCUCGAAAGCGUGGGGAGCGAACAGGAUUAGAUACCCUGGUAGUCCACGCUGUAAACGAUGAGUGCUAGGUGUCGGGGAGGAAUCCUCGGUGCCGGAGCAAACGCAAUAAGCACUCCACCUGGGGAGUACGACCGCAAGGUUGAAACU
rnacentral:rRNA from 1 species